UACAACCAAUUUUUUUAGUGGAAGAAGACGUCAAGUCUUCUGAAGACUUAAGGGGCCGACCAUUGGCUUUGAGUCUCCGUAUGCCGCAUUCAUUUCGUGUAUUACAAUUUCAAAACAACUUAGAUUCCUGACACCGAUUUUUACACAUGAUUGGGCAUCUGAAUCAUUUAAUUUGUAAAUUAUGAUUGUAAAACAAUCACUAUCGUAAAUAUGACCCUUUUAUUUAUGUAAAUUAUUAGAUUUCAUCUCAUCCACAUGAACGUAUUUUGUUUACUUGUAACAGGAUGUUUUAACUGUAGAUAUUUGUAUUACGCAUGCGUGAAUUUGGUAUCGGUACAACUCGCCCUGUUUACAAGUUCGCCCUUGAAGUUACGAAUUUGCAAUCCUGCAGACAAGAAGAUUUUAUUUUUAUAUAAAUAAAAAGGAUAUAUAAAGUGUUAUCUUUAUUCAUGGGUUUCCUUUGUCAUGUGAAUUAGAUGCCCUUCGUAACAUACAUGUGAACCUCCCGUUUAGGAGAAAAAACUCCCGUGUAUGAAAUUUUUCAGACGCCAUAUUUGAUCAUUUCUUACUACUGUACGGGUGUAAUUGACACCUGUGUUAAAUUUUACCUGAACAUCAAAGAAGAUGUAUAAUUAUAUGGCUUCACUUGAC
rnacentral:lncRNA from 1 species